rnacentral:rRNA from 1 species
GACGAACGCUGGCGGCGUGCUUAACACAUGCAAGUCGAACGGGUCUGCCCUGUUUUUUGCGGGGUGGGUCAGUGGCGAUCGGGUGAGUAACACGUGAGUAACCUGCCCCUCACUUCUGGAUAACCGCUUGAAAGGGUGGCUAAUACGGGGUGUUCUGGCUGUGCCGCAUGGUGUGGCUGGGAAAGAUUCACUUUUGUGGUGUUUUGGUGGGGGAUGGGCUCGCGGCCUAUCAGCUUGUUGGGGGGGUGAUGGCCUGCCAAGGCUUUGACGGGUAGCCGGCCUGGGAGGGUGGGCGGUCACACUGGGACGGAGGUACGGCCCAGACUCCUGCGGGAGGCAGCAGUGGGGGGUAUUGCACAAUGGGCGGAAGCCUGAUGCAGCGACGUCGCGUGAGGGAUGGAGGCCUUCGGGUUGUGAACCUCUUUCGCCGGUGAAGAAGGUCCUGCUCUUUGUGGUGGGGUUGACGGUAGCCGGGUUAUGAAGCGCCGGCUAACUACGUG